AGAAGAAGAAGAAGAAGAAAACUUGAGCUGAAACAGUCGAUUUGGGAGUCAAAGAAAGAGAAAGACACCCAAAAAAAAGGAGGAAAUUUAAUGAAAUGAAAGUGAAAGAGUGGAAGAGGGCUUAAGCUGUCUUUAAGGAACAAAAUAAAAACGGAAGUAUAGUGAUAUAUAUAGAAAGAAGAGAGGAGAUUGUGUACUUUUUGCAGCGAAGGGAUGGAGAGAAGUGGAUGAUGAUGAGAGAGAGAGAGAGAGAG
rnacentral:misc_RNA from 1 species